rnacentral:rRNA from 1 species
CCUACGGGUGGCAGCAGUGAGGAAUAUUGGUCAAUGGACGGAAGUCUGAACCAGCCAUGCCGCGUGCAGGAAGACGGCUCUAUGAGUUGUAAACUGCUUUUGUACAAGGGUAAACCUGAAUACGUGUAUUCAGCUGAAAGUACUGUACGAAUAAGGAUCGGCUAACUCCGUGCCAGCAGCCGCGGUAAUACGGAGGAUCCAAGCGUUAUCCGGAUUUAUUGGGUUUAAAGGGUGCGUAGGCGGAUUGAUAAGUUAGAGGUGAAAUGUCCGAGCUUAACUCGGGAACUGCCUCUAAUACGGUUGAUCUAGAGAGUAGAUGCGGUAGGCGGAAUGUAUGGUGUAGCGGUGAAAUGCUUAGAGAUAAGACAGAACACCGAUUGCGAAGGCGACUAUCUGGCACAUAACUGACGCUGAGGAGCGAAAGCGUGGGUAGCAAACAGGAUUAGAUACCCGGGUAGUC